rnacentral:lncRNA from 1 species
GCACACACGAGACCAGGCCCAGAGGUACAGGGCUGUGGCCUUCGAGCUGCCAGCCCAAUCCAUUUUUCUACCAUACCAAAAACCCCUUCUUUUUCAGCCCUCAUGACCGCGUCUUCCUCCAACAUCCCAGCCCCGGUCGUAGGCUCGGCAAGCCCGCUCCAGGGCCCACUUCCCAUCUCGGCGGCCGCAGACCCGCUGCCUCCCCAUCGGCGCGGCCCCAUCUUCACCUCUGAGCUCCUUGCCCCUCUCUCCCUGGCUGUCUCUGUCCUUAUCUGUCCCAAGUCUAUCUUUGUCUCUUCUCGAGCCGGGCUGUCUGCAGCAGAGGCUUCACCAGAGUGGAGGUGCUGACAGAGUGCGGGGUGUGGGGAGGACAAUCUGUGUCCCUUCUUGAGCCUUAUCGGGAAAACUUAAGUCACUGCUCAGGGCUCAGACUGGAAUUUCGCCCUAGAUGACCUUGCUGGGUCUGCUGGGGCCUCCGCAGGGACAGCCAGGGUCAAACGAGUCAGGAAACAGGCCCCUGCUUGUGGGCCGCCUGCCCGCCCUCAUCCCAACCAGGCCGCCUGCAGCGCCCUCGGCGGGAGACGCCGGGGAGGGGAGAGAAGGGAGGAGACGGGAGGGGCGGCCCCGUCUUGGGCACUCGCAGGGACUGGCGGGAGGCCGUGUGGGGCUGGAAUCGUGACCACGGAUGCCGCAAGGCCACAGGGCCCUCCUCGGGGUCCCGGCCGGAAAUCCUCAGGGGCCCGAGGAGGAGCCGGGGCGGCCACCCGACCACCUCCCCGCGGGCCGCAGGCAGGCGGCGCGCCGUACCCGCCGAGAACGCGGGAAGAGGCCAUCGCGUCUGGACACCUGGGCUUCGUCCCAGAGCCGUCACUGCUGUGUCCCCUUGGGCAACUGCCUAGCUCCCUGAGCCUCACUUUUCACACCUGGAACAUAGGAAAAUUGCGCCCACCUUCUGGGUCGUGGCAGAUAAAAUGAGUUCACGUCAGGGCUGGCUCUCAGGAGGCGCUCAGUGCUCGUGGCUUUCCUCCCCGGUGGACAGAACCCCGGGGCAGCUCCCCGCGCCCUGACGCCCAGAGCGGAGCGGCCCGGAGCGGAGCGACCACCGCACACUGGACCCGACCCUAGUCGGCCCCGCGCGCCCGGGUCGGGGCUGGAACCUGCGGGCGUGGCGCACGCCUGCCACCUGGCGGCGAAGCCCCCAGGCCGCCCGUCCCGCCCACGGCUGCGCGCGUGCGCAGGCCUGCACCACCCAGUCGCCCCCACCACGCCGCGCCCCGCCUCCCUCGCCCAGGGACUUCCUAGGCCACGCCACGCCGCUCCACCAGCUCAGGGAACCCCCUUGGCCGUGCAGACCUGCGCCACAGGGUCGUUUCCUCCCCUCCUUCCCUCGAAAGCGUAUGCAUUUCGUUGCCCCUGGAACUGGGGUCAUUUCAGGACCUCCCAAGGAGGGUCAGGAUGGUGGUAUUGGCCUUAGGGGACGCGGGCUCAGGUUGGCGGUUGAACCGCAUGUUCCUGUUUCAAACAAACCUAAAUGUAGGCCUGGAAGGCUGUGCACUGAAAUCCUAGUAUUAGGUUGGUGCAAAAUUAAUUGCGAUUUUUGCCAUUGUAGGUUGUCUGCAGAGUGAGAUUAUGGCGAAGCAUUUUAUUCUUUUUACAAACCUGCUUUUUCUCAGUUUUCCACAUUGGAUUUGCCAGCUACCUGCCUUUGCAGGACACCUCAGAAGUUACAGACUUGCCUGUGGAAAUGCAGAGAGCACCUGAGGUAUUUCCCGGACUCUCCAGUAGUAGCCUUGAAUGGCUGACCAACCGCAGUCACCUGCCAGAUCUUCUCAGAACCGGCCAGCCCACCAGCGACAGGCCCAUUAAGUGGCCUGGCCCAGCCCAGAUGGAAAACCCCCUCCACGUGACUUUCUAAAGAACAUGCAUGAAGACAAAACACCAGGUGCCUCAGGUGUGACACCCUGAGGACACAUCACCUGUACAGUAUCCUAACCCACCCAAGAUGACACAGUAAGGUAAAACCACAGUAGAGCCCAGGCCUGUUUGACUCUGAAGUCCAGGCUCCUUUCCAACUUAGUGCCCUAAAGGCCUGAUUGGGGUGGGGGUAGGCAGGAAGAUUCAAGCACUGAUUGUUUGUAGCCCAGGCUGGGAGGGCAACAGCUCUAGAAAAAAAGUCACUCACUGCUUUAACCAUCUUCCAGCUAACUGCAGUGAGGUGUACAGGGCCAUGGGGCUCUGGGAUGAACUCUUCCACCUCUACACCUUGUAAACAAGGAUUCCAGACACACCCUCCAAAUGGGAAUGGAGACACACGUUUGGCAGAGUUGGACAGUAACGCUGCUCUCCUAUCAGCCUGGACUUUGAGGGGAGUGGAAAACAUGAGUGUGGAGGUGCAGCAGUCCUGGUAUCCCCUGAAACCAGCCUGUGGGGGGAACAGUCUUCCCAGGGGAGCUGCUCAGGAUCGUCCUGGUCCCAUGCAUCAGGAAGAAAAGGGAACCUGAGAGCAGAGGGAAAAUGCAGAAAGUGGGGCAGGGAGACUGCUCCCUGAAACCCCCAUGGGCUGCUGGUCCAAGCAGAAAGUGUUGUCGGAGGGGGGAGAGGCAGGGUGAAAUGGGACAGGAAACGAGGACUUCCGAUGAGGAGGAGGAGGGGGCAGUGGGCUGCGGGUCUUGGGGACUGAACAGAAUGGGGUUUGCUAGACAGAGCUUUCGUCUACCCACUCCUGAAGUCCUGCUGGACCUCAGCUGGCCCUUGUGAACUGUUGAGGGGGAUAUAAACACAAAGGCCUGCAUUCCUGUGGGUGCACAAUCCUAAGAGACCAUGGACUGCCUGUGUGUGGUGGGAACAGGAAAAGGAGGCUGAGUGUAGCCCUGCUUGGAAUUUAGUGUCCACCACAGAUGUAUCCACUACCCAGGGCCAAAGACUCGGCAGCCUCAGAAGACUCAAUGGAAGCUGAGCACAGGACUAGAAAGGGUCAGGGCCCUCCUCUGUAUGUAGGGGUGGCACAUGGCCACUAGCUGGGUGAUGGGGCACUGAGAAAUUAAAUGUUUGACAUAAAAAUGUAAUCAGGACCCGAGAGGAGGUGGGUGGUGUAAUGAACAGCAUCCUAGAAGUCCGGUACAGAUUUCACGUGUCACCUUCUAGUUCCUUAUCUGAAAUUGAAAGGUGAGGUCAGGUGCAGUGGCUCAGGCCUGUAAUCCCAGCACUUAGGGAGGCUGAGGAGGGCAUAUCAUUGAGGUCAGGUGUUUGAGACCAGCCUGGCCAACAUGGUGAAACCUCUACUAAAAAUACGAAAAUUAGCCGGCUGUGCUGCACACGCCUGUCGUCCCAGCUACUUGGGAGGCUGAGGCAGGAGAAUCCCUUGAACCUGGGAGGCAGAGGCUGCAGUGAGCUGAGAUCACACCACUGCACUCAAGCCUGGGCAUCACAGCGAGACUUCUUAAAAAAAAAAAAAAAAUUUAAAGGUGAGCCAGUUCAGGCUUCUAGAGGCACUGCAGUUACAGACGGUAAACUGCACAAAUCCUGGGUGUGAAGCUGUUUUUUCCUGUGUAACCACCACCCAUUGACAGCAUCCCAGAAAGUUCAAGUGUGUCCCUUCCCAGUUUACAGCCACCCGCCUCCCACCCUCACUUCUAAAUCCACCGAUUAGCAGUGUGUCUUGGAAAUUAAUAUACAAGGAAUCAUAUAGUAUGUGCUCUUUUGUGUUUGGCUUCUUUGCUCAAGAUGUCCGUGAGAUUCAGCCGGGUUGCCUCUCUCUGUAAUAUGUUAAUUUAGGUGUAGUAUCCAUUGUCUGGAAAUACAAUUGUCUAUUCUCUACUGGUGGAUAUUUGAGUGUCUCUGGUUUGGGGCCAUUAUAAUAAAACUGUUGUGAAUCUUCUUAUA